rnacentral:rRNA from 1 species
UGGCUACGAGGACGACGCUGGCGGCGUGCUUAACACAUGCAAGUCGAACGAUGAACCGGAGCUUGCUCCGGGGAUUAGUGGCGAACGGGUGAGUAACACGUGGGCAACCUGCCCCAGACACCGGGAUAACCUUCCGAAAGGAUGGCUAAUACCGGAUACGACCACUUCGGGCAUCCGACGGUGGUGGAAAGGAUUCUGGUCUGGGAUGGGCCCGCGGCCUAUCAGCUUGUUGGUGGGGUAAUGGCCUACCAAGGCGACGACGGGUAGCCGGCCUGAGAGGGCGACCGGCCACACUGGGACUGAGACACGGCCCAGACUCCUACGGGAGGCAGCAGUGGGGAAUAUUGCGCAAUGGGCGAAAGCCUGACGCAGCGACGCCGCGUGAGGGACGAAGGUCUUCGGAUUGUAAACCUCUUUCAGCAGGGACGAAGCGAAAGUGACUGUACCUGCAGAAGAAGCACCGGCUAACUACGUG